rnacentral:rRNA from 1 species
AGUGAACGCUGGCGGUAGGCCUAACACAUGCAAGUCGAACGGCAGCACAGUAAGAGCUUGCUCUUACGGGUGGCGAGUGGCGGACGGGUGAGGAAUACAUCGGAAUCUACUUUUUCGUGGGGGAUAACGUAGGGAAACUUACGCUAAUACCGCAUACGACCUACGGGUGAAAGCAGGGGAUCUUCGGACCUUGCGCGAUUGAAUGAGCCGAUGUCGGAUUAGCUAGUUGGCGGGGUAAAGGCCCACCAAGGCGACGAUCCGUAGCUGGUCUGAGAGGAUGAUCAGACACACUGGAACUGAGACACGGUCCAGACUCCGACGGGAGGCAGCAGUGGGGAAUAUUAGGCAAUGGGCGAAAGCCUGAUCCAGCCAUACCGCGUGAGUGAAGAAGGCGUUCUGGUUGUAAAGCCCUUUUGUUGGGAAAGAAAAGCAGCAGGUUAAUACCCCGCUGUUCUGACGGUACCCAAAGAAUAAGCACCGGCUAACUUCGUG